UUAUGCUGGCACUAUAUGGCAACUUAUUUUUGAGUUACGCACACUCGUUGAAGACAUUCCCAGCUCCAACACAAACUAAUUUAAAAAUGCAGCUGGCACAGCAUUUUGAGAAACUGAACUUGCUAUACUAAACGAUGACACACCACCAGAUCUGUCUCCUGCAGUCCUUGCGUCACCCAGCUCACUGGUGGCACAACGUAUUGCAAAUGCUUAAGUCACUGUCGCAAUUUAGAAACCAGUAGAAUGGGGCACUGAACUGCUGUACAUCUACACCCAUAUCUACAUGGCUACUCUGCAAAUCAUAGUCCGCAGACAACAGCACCACAAAGAAAAUGUCUUCAAGUGGAUAAAUGUAACAAUAAAGAUUGCAAACAUGAAGUAUUUGUCAAGAUUAAGUUGUGUUAUACAAAUGUAUUCAGUUAUCGGAUGGUGUCUACAGAAUUAAAGGCUGAAAAAAGUGACUUUUGAUGACAGAGCUCUAUCAAAUUAGAAGAUGGAGCUCUA